AGUACAUGGUGUGAACAUAUUCUCAUUAACUCUUUGAACCACUUCCAUGCUUCGAAUAACAAUUCUCCUUCCUCUGCAUAAAGCAGGUAAUCUAGUUCUUAAGUU